UACGUAGGGUGCAAGCGUUGUCCGGAUUUAUUGGGUUUAAAGGGUGCGUAGGCGGCCCUGUAAGUCAGUGGUGAAAUACUCCAGCUUAACUGGAGGGGUGCCAUUGAUACUGCAGGGCUUGAGUUAAGUUGAAGUUGGCGGAAUUGACGGUGUAGCGGUGAAAUGCUUAGAUAUCGUCAAGAACACCGAUAGUGAAGACAGCUAACUAAACUUUUUACUGACGCUGAGGCACGAAAGUGUGGGGAUCAAACAGG
rnacentral:rRNA from 1 species